rnacentral:sRNA from 1 species
UGCCAGUUUGUAGGUAGAUUCGCUGAGU